AUUGAACGCUGGCGGCAUGCUUUACACAUGCAAGUCGAACGGUAACAGCACUUCGGUGGCUGACGAGUGGCGAACGGGUGAGUAAUACAUCGGAACGAGCCUAGUAGUGGGGGAUAACUACUCGAAAGAGUAGCUAAUACCGCAUGAGAUCUAAGGAUGAAAGCAGGGGACCUUCGGGCCUGGUGCUACUAGAGCGGCUGAUGGCAGAUUAGGUAGUUGGUGGGAUAAAAGCUUACCAAGCCGACGAUCUGUAGCUGGUCUGAGAGGACGACCAGCCACACUGGGACUGAGACACGGCCCAGACUCCUACGGGAGGCAGCAGUGGGGAAUUUUGGACAAUGGGCGCAAGCCUGAUCCAGCAAUGCCGCGUGCAGGAUGAAGGCCUUCGGGUUGUAAACUGCUUUUGUACGGAACGAAAAGCCCUCUUCUAAUACAGGAGGGUCAUGACGGUACCGUAAGAAUAAGCACCGGCUAACUACGUG
rnacentral:rRNA from 1 species